rnacentral:rRNA from 1 species
CAAUCACUUGUCUCUUAAAUAGAGACCUGUAUGAAUGGCUAGACGAGGGCUUAACUGUCUCCCCCUUCCAGUCAGUGAAAUUGAUCUAUCCGUGCAGAAGCGGGUAUAAUUCUACAAGACGAGAAGACCCUUUGGAGCUUAAGGUACAAAAUUCACCCAUGUUAAACAACUCCGUAGAAAGCAAGAACUUUGUGGAUAUGAAACUUUACCUUCGGUUGGGGCGACCACGGAGGAAAAACAAGCCUCCGAGUGGACUGGGCCAAAAACCCCUAAAGCUAAAAGAGACAUCUUUAAGCCGCAGAACAUCUGACCAAUAAUGAUCCGGCUAAAAAGCCGAUCAACGGACCAAGUUACCCUAGGGAUAACAGCGCAAUCCUCUCCCAGAGCCCA